GACGAACGCUGGCGGCGUGCUUAACACAUGCAAGUCGAGCGGAAAGGCGCGGAGUUUGUGGGGUGCUCGUGUGCCGAGCGCGGGUGUAACACGCGAGUAAAACGCACUUGUCUUUCGGAUAAAAUCAGGAGACAGCGGCGAAUAUCGCAGAGAAUAUCCUGAAGCGCAGGGGUGGAUAGAAAAAUUCGGCGGUUGGGGAUGGAAUCGAGGCUUACGAGCCUGAUUGGCGAGUUGGGGCGUUCCAAGGCUUUGACGGGUAGGCGGCCUAAGAGAGUGACCGGCCACAUUGGGACUGAGGUACGGCCCAGACUCCUACGGGAGGCAGCAGUGGGGAAUAUUGCACAAUGGGCGGAAGCCUGAUGCAGCAACGCCGCGUGCGGGAUGACGGCCUUCGGGUUGUAAACCGCUUUCGCCUGUGACGAAGCGUGAGUGACGGUAAUGGGUAAAGAAGCACCGGCUAACUACGUG
rnacentral:rRNA from 1 species